UUAUUUCUGGUUCUAUGCUCAGAAAUCGCUCCUUACUGACUGUAUAGAAAGAGGAGGUACAGUAAAUGCACCCCAUAUACACCUCAACACAGGCCCUUUGCCUGGUCUGUAUUGUGAAUUAGGGGACAAAA